CAGACCUUGGGGAGAGUACCUUGGUUGGGGAGCCAUCUGCCUGAAUGUGCUUCUCUUUUAGGCUCGGCUACAAUGGCCUGCUCAUAGCAGAGCAGGAGCUAAAGGAAAGAACCCUGGAUUAAGAGGAUGUCCACAGACAGCAAGGUCUCAAAAGCACAAGAUUUCUACAAAGAAUUCAGAGACUUUCCUGCAACCACCAUAUAGACAGAAAAGCCUGGCUUACUCUGACCUUCCUGCUAGGGAAGAGACCUCUGUCACCUCUCUACAUGUCAAGUGCAAACAGACUCAAUAUGCAUAAGCAAAUUAUUGUACCAAAUAUGAGCCACCAGCAGAGAACAAAGAUCAGUUGAGAGAUAUUCAAAACUCCUGGACUGGCACAGCCCAAGAUCACAAAGAUUAUAUCUGACACUCUCUCAGAGAACCCUUCUCCAUGUAUUGUCUUCCUGUGUUCAUAUUUAAGUGCAACAAAAUUUGCUUUGAUUGGUAUUACUUGCCUCUUUAUGAAUUCUGUCUUAAAUUAAGAAAAAUUAAUCCUGGAUGAUUGACAACAUUUUUGGUGACCCAGAUAAUAUCCUCCGUUUAGAAGGUCUCGAAGGGCUGACAGCAGUGAUGAUUGGCACAGACUUAUCUUGUUAUCAUAAAGUGGUUAUUUGAACCUCUGCUUCAGGGUCACCACAAUUGCUCUGGCCUUUUCCUGCUGUGCAGUCCUUCCUGCAACGAUUUCUUCUGUUCCCCCUACCUUUUAUCCUGUAGUUAGAUUUUGCUCCUUUCAUUUUUAAUAAAUAUUGCUUACCAUUUAAA